rnacentral:rRNA from 1 species
AACGAACGCUGGCGGCAUGCCUAACACAUGCAAGUCGAACGAGACCUUCGGGUCUAGUGGCGCACGGGUGCGUAACACGUGGGAAUCUGCCCUUUGCUUCGGAAUAACAGUUAGAAAUGACUGCUAAUACCGGAUGAUGUCGAAAGACCAAAGAUUUAUCGGCAAAGGAUGAGCCCGCGUAGGAUUAGGUAGUUGGUGGGGUAAAGGCCUACCAAGCCGACGAUCCUUAGCUGGUCUGAGAGGAUGAUCAGCCACACUGGGACUGAGACACGGCCCAGACUCCUACGGGAGGCAGCAGUGGGGAAUAUUGGACAAUGGGCGAAAGCCUGAUCCAGCAAUGCCGCGUGAGUGAUGAAGGCCUUAGGGUUGUAAAGCUCUUUUAACAGGGAUGAUAAUGACAGUACCUGGAGAAUAAGCGCCGGCUAACUCCGUG